GACGAACGCUGGCGGCGUGCCUAAUACAUGCAAGUCGAGCGAAUCAAAAGGAGCGCAGCUCUUUUGGUUAGCGGCGGACGGGUGAGUAACACGUGGGCAACCUGCCUGUAAGACUGGGAUAACACCGGGAAACCGGUGCUAAUACCGGAUAAUUCUUUCUCUCUCAUGAGGGAAAGUUGAAAGUCGGUUUCGGCUGAUACUUACAGGUGGGCCCGCGGCGCAUUAGCUGGUUGGUGAGGUAACGGCUCACCAAGGCGACGAUGCGUAGCCGACCUGAGAGGGUGAUCGGCCACACUGGGACUGAGACACGGCCCAGACUCCUACGGGAGGCAGCAGUAGGGAAUCUUCCACAAUGGACGAAAGUCUGAUGGAGCAACGCCGCGAGCGAUGAAGGCCUUCGGGUCGUAAAGCUCUGUUGUUAGGGAAGAACAAGUACCGGAGUAACUGCCGGUACCUUGACGGUACCUAACCAGAAAGCCACGGCUAACUACGUG
rnacentral:rRNA from 1 species